CGAAAAUUUCCUCCCUCCCUCACAUCGCGUCGUUGCUCUGCCCACCGCCAUCGGCGACACUGCCACUCUGAGCAACCCUCCCUCUACCCAAACCAAGAUUGCAUAGUUUGAAAAGGUAAGUGGAGACCGAUUUAUUCUCUGCCUUGUGAGGAUGUAAGUACCACGUAAUUACUCUACCCAGCAACGCCCCCGUCGACCCUCCCAUCCUCUCCCCGAGUCUCCUCGUGCGGCUUCCUCGCCCUCCCCGAGUAAGUUCUACUCUACAUUUGGCCUUCUUCUAAUGUUUGCUUCCCUUUAUGUUUUCUUUGAAAAUAACAUGAACUGAAAAGUUCAACUCAACUGGAAGAUGCGAUAUUGUUGUUUUAGUCAUACCCAGAUCAUAAAACAGUUAAUAGUUUUAGAUUCAUGAUGGGGUUUUUCCUUUUCUUGAAUUUUCACGGCAACCCAAUAUAGGAUUUUCUUGAAUUUUCACGACAAACAGUUAAUACCAGUGAUUUACACUAGUAAAUCAGACAAGCUCAAGAAAUGGUUCUCGCUGAUUGAUGCGGUAACAUUGUCACAUAAGAGGGUUCUGCUACCUGUUAAAAAACUUCGUGAGUCUUCUCUUGUUAGUAGCGAGUUGCAUAGGACAAUGUAUGGCUUUAUUCCAUUUGAAGUUUCAUGGAACAAUGUCCGAGGCAUCAACUACUUGAAUGAGUUUCAGGGAAGAGACUGCUUGCAAAAACACUAGCUCGAUUUGUGAAUGUGCCCUUUGUCAUCGCUGAUGCAACAACUUUGACACAGGUGCAUCACUUUUCCAACUUUGGGGUAAGAUGGGGCUUUUAAUUUCUGAGAUAAAGACAGUAAACAAAGACUCAAGGUGUGUACAGAUCUCAUAUAAAAGUUCAAAUCAUAUUUCAACCAUUUUUAUUGCUUUUACUGCAUUUCAAUGAAGUAUAGGUUCUAUUCUUCAGUAACUAAUUCAAUACAGACUUGUUUCGUUGAUGCAUGUUUCAACAAUAAAAUGUCAUAGUUUGGAACAGAUGCACCUACGCAUUCUUGCUAACCUAUAAUAUAAUCCUCCUGUAUCUAUCGUGUAAUUUCAGGCCAAAAAAAGGAAAUCUAAUGCACGGGAUAUCUUUUCUAUAGUUGAUUUUGAAUGACUUUGUUUGGUGCCUUAUUUUUCUUUUUUCUAGUUUAC